rnacentral:rRNA from 1 species
UACGUAGGGUGCAAGCGUUAAUCGGAAUUACUGGGCGUAAAGCGUGCGCAGGCGGUUUUGUAAGUUUGUCGUGAAAGCCCCGGGCUCAACCUGGGAAUUGCGAUGAAGACUGCAAGGCUUGAAUCUGGCAGAGGGGGGUAGAAUUCCACGUGUAGCAGUGAAAUGCGUAGAGAUGUGGAGGAACACCGAUGGCGAAGGCAGCCCCCUGGGUCAACACUGACGCUCACGCACGAAAGCGUGGGGAGCAAACAGG